rnacentral:sRNA from 1 species
CGGGGGUCCCAGUUCCGAACC